rnacentral:rRNA from 1 species
UACGUAGGGGGCAAGCGUUGUCCGGAUUUAUUGGGCGUAAAGCGCGUGUAGGCGGCCAGGUAGGUCCGCUGUGAAAACCCGAGGCUCAACCUCGGGACGUCGGCGGAAACCAUCUGGCUAGAGUCCGGAAGAGGUGAGUGGAAUUCCUAGUGUAGAGGUGAAAUUCGUAGAUAUUAGGAAGAACACCAGUGGCGAAGGCGGCUCACUGGUCCGGUACUGACGCUGAGGUGCGAAAGCGUGGGGAGCAAACAGG